rnacentral:rRNA from 1 species
UACGGGGGGGGCAAGCGUUGUUCGGAAUUACUGGGCGUAAAGGGUUCGUAGGUGGCUCGCUAAGUCAGACGUGAAAUCCCCCGGCUUAACCUGGGAACUGCGUCUGAUACUGGGAGGCUUGAGUAUGGGAGAGGGAUGUAGAAUUCCAGGUGUAGCGGUGAAAUGCGUAGAUAUCUGGAGGAAUACCGGUGGCGAAGGCGGCAUCCUGGACCAUAACUGACGCUGAGGCGCGAAAGCUAGGGGAGCAAACGGG